GUUACUGGCACUGAAGAUAUACGUCGCCCAUUUCUGUUUCAUCUCUUCCGCGGUGAAUGGUCCUUCCUAGGCAAGACCGACAUAUUAAGGCUAUGGAUUCCAGAAAGGCGGCCUUAUAAAGUACCAGCAAGAAGUAGUGCAUCGUUCCAGACUAGAAUCCCUCCACAACUCAAGUGAUGGAUCGCAGAUCGAAUCCAACCAAGGGGUAAACCGCUGGUUUAAAACGUAUACAUAUUACUAUAUACAGGGUGGUGCCUAGCGCGACGCAGC